rnacentral:lncRNA from 1 species
UUAGCUAAAAAAUCUGAAAACUGGUUGCACGCUCGUGGAACAUGAAUGAUGUUGAAAUCCGGAAAACAAAUCAUCAGCGUCUCUAUCCUUUCUAAUUCCGUCACAAAGCUAGGCUAGACAUGAGGUUCAUUUAUCAUUGCUAUCAGCUCCUUGCAGUCUGUCCCAAAGCUCUGAAUAAGUCGCACUCGUUAUAAUUAGCCUUGAAUAGAAUAUUUACUGAG